ACCCACGCCGAAAGACCAAGGGUUCCUGCGCAACGUUAAUCGACGCAGGGUUAGUCGGUUCCUAAGGCGAGGCUGAAAAGCGUAGUCGAUGGGAAACAGGUUAAUAUUCCUGUACUUCUGGUUACUGCGAUGGAGGGACGGAGAAGGCUAGGCCAGCUUGGCGUUGGUUGUCCAAGUUUAAGGUGGUAGGCUGAAAUCUUAGGUAAAUCCGGGGUUUCAAGGCCGAGAGCUGAUGACGAGUCGUCUUUUAGAUGACGAAGUGGUUGAUGCCAUGCUUCCAAGAAAAGCUUCUAAGCUUCAGGUAACCAGGAACCGUACCCCAAACCGACACAGGUGGUCGGGUAGAGAAUACCAAGGCGCUUGAGAGAACUCGGGUGAAGGAACUAGGCAAAAUGGCACCGUAACUUCGGGAGAAGGUGCGCCGGCUAGGGUGAAGGAUUUACUCCGUAAGCUCUGGCUGGUCGAAGAUACCAGGCCGCUGCGACUGUUUAUUAAAAACACAGCACUCUGCAAACACGAAAGUGGACGUAUAGGGUGUGACGCCUGCCCGGUGCCGGAAGGUUAAUUGAUGGGGUUAGCGCAAGCGAAGCUCUUGAUCGAAGCCCCGGUAAACGGCGGCCGUAACUAUAACGGUCCUAAGGUAGCGAAAUUCCUUGUCGGGUAAGUUCCGACCUGCACGAAUGGCGUAACGAUGGCGGCGCUGUCUCCACCCGAGACUCAGUGAAAUUGAAAUCGCUGUGAAGAUGCAGUGUAUCCGCGGCUAGACGGAAAGACCCCGUGAACCUUUACUGUAGCUUUGCACUGGACUUUGAGCCUGCUUGUGUAGGAUAGGUGGGAGGCUUUGAAGCGUGGACGCCAGUUCGCGUGGAGCCAUCCUUGAAAUACCACCCUGGCAUGCUUGAGGUUCUAACUCUGGUCCGUGAUCCGGAUCGAGGACAGUGUAUGGUGGGCAGUUUGACUGGGGCGGUCUCCUCCUAAAGAGUAACGGAGGAGUACGAAGGUGCGCUCAGACCGGUCGGAAAUCGGUCGCAGAGUAUAAAGGCAAAAGCGCGCUUGACUGCGAGACAGACACGUCGAGCAGGUACGAAAGUAGGUCUUAGUGAUCCGGUGGUUCUGUAUGGAAGGGCCAUCGCUCAACGGAUAAAAGGUACUCCGGGGAUAACAGGCUGAUACCGCCCAAGAGUUCAUAUCGACGGCGGUGUUUGGCACCUCGAUGUCGGCUCAUCACAUCCUGGGGCUGAAGCCGGUCCCAAGGGUAUGGCUGUUCGCCAUUUAAAGUGGUACGCGAGCUGGGUUUAGAACGUCGUGAGACAGUUCGGUCUCUAUCUGCCGUGGACGUUUGAGAUUUGAGAGGGGCUGCUCCUAGUACGAGAGGACCGGAGUGGACGAACCUCUGGUGUUCCGGUUGUCACGCCAGUGGCAUUGCCGGGUAGCUAUGUUCGGAAAAGAUAACCGCUGAAAGCAUCUAAGCGGGAAACUUGCCUCAAGAUGAGAUCUCACUGGGAACUUGAUUCCCCUGAAGGGCCGUCGAAGACUACGACGUUGAUAGGCUGGGUGUGUAAGCGUUGU
rnacentral:rRNA from 1 species